UGUAAGACGAUCGUAGUUGACG
rnacentral:miRNA from 1 species